rnacentral:rRNA from 1 species
UUGGAGGGCAAGUCUGGUGCCAGCAGCCGCGGUAAUUCCAGCUCCAAUAGCGUAUAUUAAAGUUGUUGCAGUUAAAAAGCUCGUAGUUGAAUUUCGGGGUCAGUAGAUUGGUCGUGCCACUGGUAUGUACUGGUCUUACUGGCUCCUCCUUCCUGAUGAACCGUAAUGCCAUUAAUUUGGUGUUGCGGGGAGACUGGACUGUUACUUUGAAAAAAUUAGAGUGUUUAAAGCAGGCUAACGCUUGAAUACAUUAGCAUGGAAUAAUGGAAUAGGACGUUCGAUCUUAUUUUGUUGGUUUCUAGGAUUGACGUAAUGAUUAAUAGGGAUAGUUGGGGGCAUUAGUAUUCAAUUGUCAGAGGUGAAAUUCUUGGAUUUAUUGAAGACUAACUACUGCGAAAGCAUUUGCCAAGGAUGUUUUCAUUAAUCAAGAACGAAAGUUAGGGGAUCGAAGACGAUCAGAUACCGUCGUAGUCUUAACCAUAAACUAUGCCGACUAGGGAUCGGACGGUGUUAUAUUUUGACCCGUUCGGCGCCUUACGGGAAA